AUGGAAGUAUUCUGGUUUUGAAUUCAGCUACUUUUAUUCUUGGGCAGUCAAGUCAGCGCUAUUACUGUGCAAUCACUGUCGGAGAGAAUGCUGUGAUCUCAGCCUUUAGGCUGUCAGAGGACAAAAGUAGGUCUUUAGUGGGAGCUAUCAUAUCUAAAGUUGUUCCUGCAGCAUUUUCAACAAUAGCUUCCUUUUCUAAAAUGAUUUGGCGGAGUGAACAAAAUUCACCGAGAAAAUCAAAUAUAAAGCCUCAAGCUUUUGCUCGAGCUUCUCCGUUGACAUCUUUGAAGGAUUAUCCAAGAAAAGGUGAGAAGCUCACCUUAUCGCCUAGUGGCACAUUGGCAGCAAUUACAGACUCACUUGGUCGUAUAUUGCUAUUAGACACUCAGGCACUUGUUGUAGUGCGAUUAUGGAAGGUUU